GAGAGGAGAGGAGAGGAGAGGAGAGGAGAGGAGAGGAGAGACAUCCAUGGGGGAGGGCAGAAGCCUUGGGAUUUCCCCCCAGAUGUGUGCCACAGGGCAGGAGGCUCAAAUGAGAAAGGCAUGGGCCAAGCUUGGCACAUGAAGCAGCUCAAAUGACUGCCCCUCCCUGGGAGCGAACAAACCUCAGCAAUUCAGUAAUCCUCCCCCUGGGACAUGUAGCUAUGCAUCUGGAUUUUUAAACACCAUUUUUUUACAUUCUUUAUAAUAUAAACACAUGUAUGCACAUAAAACUCGAGAGACCUUUUCUUGAAGAUGUUUAAAUAUGGUUGGGAAGCUGUCCCACUUCCCUGCCGGCAGGGCCCCGACAUGGCUCUCAUGUCCAGAUGAUGGCCCUGACAUGGCUGUCGUGUCCUUCCUUUCUCCACCGAUGUCUUCAAGAGACAGUGGAGGUUUUGUGCUUGCUGCAGUCCCUCAGGAUCUGCUGAGGCAAGGGAUGAACCUCCACAGGAUACACUGGACGAGGUGUGUCCAUGCUGACCCCAUGGCAGGAGCUCUGCCAUGUCAGGGAGCUGCGUGAAAAGGGAGGCCUGCCACCCAUUGGUGCCAUGUCAGGAGUGGCAGGACCCCAAAGUGCCACAGGUCCCAGCACAAAGCUGCUGCAGGGGGCACAGGCACGACACAACACCUGGCCCAACACCGAGGCCCACCCACAAGUGCAGCGUUGGCUUGUUGGGAUGGUGACAGGACCGAACAAGGCCCAUGGCUUCUCCAGGACACCAUGACCAAGGCAAGGUCCGACGGUCCUCCCUGAAAAGCCGGCAUUUCCCGACUUUGAGUCCUAAAAACACUCAUCACCGGACACUCGAGGAGGCAGACCCGAGUGAUUAAACCAGCAGGAAAAUGCCAGAGAGGAGAUGAUUUCACUGCACUACUGAAAGCACAUUUCGGCAGAUAAGCCUAGCAACAGGGGCCCUGUCUCCAGGCUGGCUCCCAGCAAGGAGCUCCUGCUGCAGCUCCCUGUCAGCCCACCGCACUGCUGCGGGUGAGUGAAUGAAUGAAGAAAUAAAUAACCUAUCGCAGCCUUCGUGCAAUAAGCCGAAUAUUAGCAUGUGGCUCUCAAGACGACCUUUAUCGAAGGAAGCAGCAUUUACAGGGGAGAAAAAUUAUCUAAAAAUAAACGAUUAUCGCUCGUGUAUACAUAGAAAUACCGAGGGCAAGAUAUGGCUUUCUAUAACAUGAAAUGACUCAUUUUCCCCCUGAAGUUUUAGUGAGUGUCGAAGAUAUGCACUUCUAAGAGUGAAUCACUCCAAAUGGCCACUGGGUGACUGGCUGGGAUUGAACUAAUCUUGGGGAGGAGAGCUGACGUAAGAGCCAUGGGACUGGGAAUGCACGGGCUAUUUGCAGGGCAAGGAUGGCAGGCAUUAGCACUCAGUUGUCACUAGUAAAUCUUAGAUUGCUUUGACAGGUGGCAGAUUGCAAGACGUGAACGGCUACAGCUUCCAGGGGAACACUCUUUUCAUGGAAAGUGGGAUGAGGCCAAGGGAACAGCCCGUAUUUCUUUUUUAUGUGUGUGCGCAAACACACACACACGUGUAUAUAUAGCUGUAAAAAAUAAAGCGUAUCUUUUAUGGAUAAGUAAACUAACUUGAACCCUCGUUUAUAUUUGCUAGCUAAACCCAGGAGUAAGAGCUCAAGCCUUCUGGAAGCAAAGCUCAAUUGCCAGCCUCCAGAACAAGCCAAAAAAAAAAGUUAUGGUGAGUUAUCUACAAGCCUCAUUAAGCACGAGAGAAUCCAAUGGCUCCCCAGAUAUUCGUGAGAGAGCGUGAGUCUGGAUUCAAACCACUCCUGGGACAAGCACUGACCAGAUUGUGGUGUCUGAAGUGUUUUCCAGCCACCCCUGUGAGUAUACCUUACAUACGCAUAAAUAUCAGCUUCGUGUUGGAUCCAUGUCCAGAGGAGGGAAGUGAAAGAGAAGCAAGCCAUGCCUUUUCAGACGAGCUCAUGGCUUUUAGCAGUCUCCCUUCACACACUGCUUACAGCAGCCUGGCUGAUAGGGAAAGAAAGAUCCCAAGAAAGCCCUGCCAUCCGGAGGAACUCAGCCGCCUCCAUAAGCAAUGUAAGCACAGCUGUGCUUUGCAGUAGCAAAUGCCAGCCAUGCAACUGAUCGCACAGUUAAAACAGGCUGCAGCAGCAAUGCACCAAUGCUGUGUAAAUGGCUGGACUGUGCAAGCUCAUGUCAUACUGCCAGCUACUUGUAGCCCCCUGCCUGAUGGAUGUGUGGGUGGCUUAUACCUGGUGAAUGCAGUCGCUGAGCUGGGCUCUCACACACACUUUGCACCUUGCUAAGGAACUGCCUGGUAUGGCUGGGUCUUCUGUUCUCCAGCCCCAUGGAGAGCAGCCAACACGGCUUGCCCUGCAUUUCAUAGGGAUGUUUGUGGAAACAAGUGACACUGGGGUACAAGUUUUGCUGUGGGCUAUAAGAAAACAUGAAAAUCGAGCCAAACUGAUUCAAGCCAAACUUGUUACGAGUGAAUGUUUCCUCAGAGGACAGAGCUGUCAAGCAGAAGGUCUCUUGGAGAACAGGAGAAACCUCUUUUGACUCACACCAUCUGCCAGAAAGGAUGAAAUACUGGAAGGAGUUUGAGAAUGACAUGCGGGUAUUCCCAGCACUGCCAUGGUGAUUUUAUGUGACCUAGGUGCAGUGGUUUGGCCCCUCUGUGAACCAUAAGCUUUGCCUGCCCUCCCAAGGCAGAGAUGACAGGAAUGCCUGUGGUUUCACCCCCUCCUAGCACACCAGACAGGUAGGGAUUUUAAGCCGAUGAAUUAUUUGCUGCAAACAUUCUUUUCCACUUUGCUAAUUGUUCCCAUACCCGCUUGGGCGGCUGUAAAUGUGUUUGUGAUUACUGCAGAAGAGAGGGAUGCAGCUGUGCUCCAGCCCCAUGCAAACCCUUCACACCACGAGGCUGCAGUCAGCCCCUGUCCCACAGCACAGAGCUGUGCAGCUGCACAUCCACAGCCAGCUGCUGCUGCAGGGAAAGGGCCAGCCUCGCUAACGAGCCUCACACGGGAGCACGACAGGAGGGCAAACCACUCGUUUUUUUUGCUGACAUGGAGUUAUUCAGUUGCACUUCCCAGUCCCAUGGUACCUCGUAGCCAAAGCCACAAAGAAACCCCAAACUAACCUGAUGAACUGUUCCAAAUACUGGUAUGUUUUCAUUUCCCCUUCCUGAAAACAGUCAUAUAAAAAUCACAUGAAGCCCUCUAGCCUCAAGAAAGUGGAGCCCUCAACAGCGAGUAACUCAUGGUUUCUAAAGAAGUGAAAGUUUCUGGGUUCUUUGGGGAAGAAUUUCACCAGCUCUGCUCUUACUGUGAUGCGGCUUAUCUAGAGGGAAAGAUACUGUACACAGAUACAGACAAACUGGUUUCCAACCCCAAAUCUGUGAUUCCAGACCAAGUGGAGAAAUAUGAAAACAUCCCAGGGAUUUUAAAAGCCAUGGAUUCAAACCUGGAAAAACUCCAGCACUGGAGUUUUUGGUGGGGAGAGAUUUGGAGCCUUACUGACGACGAUAACUGUGAAAAGAAGAAAAUGUGUUUUGGAUCUGUACCUGUCUGACUACAAAGGCAUGACCAUGCCAGCAGCCUGCAGCUCUCACGGCCACAGCGGAGCGAUGCAUUCACAGGCCGGGUCAGAUUGAUGUGCAGUAUUUGGAGCCACGGGGUAUUCUCUACAAUUACUCCUUGCUGCUGCAAAUUAGCACGCUCCUCACUUUAACGGGGAGCUGUUGCCGUCAGCUGAGGCGGGAUCUGCAAAGGUUCCUGUG